rnacentral:rRNA from 1 species
UACGGGGGGAGCAAGCGUUGUUCGGAUUUACUGGGCGUAAAGGGCGCGUAGGCGGCCUCUGCAAGUCGACUGUGAAAUCUCCGGGCUUAACCCGGAAAGGUCAGCCGAUACUGCAGGGCUAGAGUGCAGAAGGGGCAACUGGAAUUCUCGGUGUAGCGGUGAAAUGCGUAGAUAUCGAGAGGAACACCUGCGGCGAAGGCGGGUUGCUGGGCUGACACUGACGCUGAUGCGCGAAAGCUAGGGGAGCGAACGGGG